rnacentral:rRNA from 1 species
GGAUAUGUGACGUGACCGCAUGGUCUGCGUCUGGAAAGAAUUUCGGUUGGGGAUGGGCUCGCGGCCUAUCAGCUUGUUGGUGAGGUAAUGGCUCACCAAGGCGUCGACGGGUAGCCGGCCUGAGAGGGUGACCGGCCACACUGGGACUGAGACACGGCCCAGACUCCUACGGGAGGCAGCAGUGGGGAAUAUUGCACAAUGGGCGCAAGCCUGAUGCAGCAACGCCGCGUGAGGGACGACGGCCUUCGGGUUGUAAACCUCUUUUAGCAGGGAAGAAGCGAAAGUGACGGUACCUGCAGAAAAAGCGCCGGCUAACUACGUGCCAGCAGCCGCGGUAAUACGUAGGGCGCAAGCGUUAUCCGGAAUUAUUGGGCGUAAAGAGCUCGUAGGCGGUUUGUCGCGUCUGCUGUGAAAUCCGGAGGCUCAACCUCCGGCCUGCAGUGGGUACGGGCAGACUAGAGUGCGGUAGGGGAGAUUGGAAUUCCUGGUGUAGCGGUGGAAUGCGCAGAUAUCAGGAGGAACACCGAUGGCGAAGGCAGAUCUCUGGGCCGUAACUGACGCUGAGGAGCGAAAGGGUGGGGAGCAAACAGGCUUAGAUACCCUGGUAGUCCACCCCGUAAACGUUGGGAA